AUUUGGUGCUAGGAUAUAAAUUUGUUUCACCUAAUCGUUAUGAAUUUAUAUUCGCAAGUAGUGAAGGUCGUUAGUCACGAUCGUGUUAAGUAAAUUCCUGGCAAGAGUAUCAUGCUUUCCAUAGAAUGUAAUGAUUCUAACUUAUGUCUUUAUCAUGCUGUUCAUAUAGAGAACUUGUUAGGAAUAAUUUGUUUGCGAUGCAUAUUCAUCCGAUUCAAUGAUUCUAGGGAAAUCUGAAGGUUAAUUUAAGCGGACCUAAUUAACUUGGAGUGUCGAGGUUCAUAACUUAUUCAAUUGAUAACUGGAAAUCGAUUUAGGUUGCAUAUAUUUCAUGUGUGGAGAAGAACCCCUUAGCCAUUCCAUCAUCCAUUGAUUUUUCAUAACUUUGUAUUACAAUCUGUUUCUCUUACAAUCUGCCAUUUAAGUUUAUUUUCGUCCAAAUCAA
rnacentral:lncRNA from 1 species